rnacentral:lncRNA from 1 species
GCAAGCAGAAAGUAAUCAAGGCGGCAAGCACCUCCAUGCUAGCACAUAGCAAUGUCAUUCAUGCAAGCAGGCAGCGACCUCAGCGUGCAGGCAAAUCUACGAGAUAGUCACAAGACAAAAAGCAGAGCCAAAAA